AUAACGACUCUCGGCAACGGAUAUCUCGGCUCUCGCAUCGAUGAAGAACGUAGCGAAAUGCGAUACUUGGUGUGAAUUGCAGAAUCCCGCGAACCAUCGAGUCUUUGAACGCAAGUUGCGCCCUAAGCCUUUAGGCCGAGGGCACGUCUGCCUGGGUGUCACG
rnacentral:rRNA from 1 species